rnacentral:rRNA from 1 species
CGUAGGUGCAAGCGUUGUCCGGAAUUAUUGGGCGUAAAGAGCUCGUAGGCGGUUCUGUCGCGUCGGCUGUGGAAAACUCGGGGCUUCGAACCCCGAGCCUGCAGUCGAUACGGGCAGACUAGAGUGCUGUAGGGGAGACUGGAAUUCCUGGUGUAGCGGUAGAAAUGCGCAGAUAUCAGGAGGAACACCGGUGGCGAAGGCGGGUCUCUGGGUAGUAACUGACGCUGAGGAGCGAAAGCGUGGGGGAGCAAACAGGAUU